rnacentral:rRNA from 1 species
UGAGGAAUAUUGGUCAAUGGGCGAGAGCCUGAACCAGCCAAGUCGCGUGAAGGAAGACUGCCUUAUGGGUUGUAAACUUCUUUUAUACAGGAAUAAAAAGGCUUACGUGUAGGCCAUUGCAAGUACUGUAUGAAUAAGCAUCGGCUAACUCCGUGCCAGCAGCCGCGGUAAUACGGAGGAUGCGAGCGUUAUCCGGAUUUAUUGGGUUUAAAGGGUGCGCAGGCGGGCUUUUAAGUCAGCGGUGAAAUCUGGACGCUUAACGUCCAAACUGCCGUUGAAACUGGGAGUCUUGAGUAUGGAUGAAGUAGGCGGAAUUCGUUGUGUAGCGGUGACAUGCAUAGAUAUAACGAGGAACUCCGAUUGCGUAGGCAGCUUACUAAGCCAUAACUGACGCUCAUGCACGAAAGCGUGGGGAUCAAACAGGAUUAGAUACCCUGGUAGUCCACGCCGUAAAACGAUGAUUACUAGUUGUAUGCGAUAUGAUAGUAUGUGACUAAGCGAAAGCGAUAAGUAAUCCACCUGGGGAGUACGCCGGCAACGGUGAAACUUAAAGG